UACGUAGGGCGCAAGCGUUGUCCGGAAUUAUUGGGCGUAAAGAGCUCGUAGGUGGCUUGUUGCGUCUGCCGUGAAAGCCCGUGGCUUAACUGCGGGUCUGCGGUGGAUACGGGCAGGCUAGAGGCUGGUAGGGGCAAGCGGAAUUCCUGGUGUAGCGGUGAAAUGCGCAGAUAUCAGGAGGAACACCGGUGGCGAAGGCGGGUCUCUGGCCGUAACUGACGCUGAGGAGCGAAGCGUGGGAGCGAACAGG
rnacentral:rRNA from 1 species